UUUAUUAUUUGUUUUUGUUUUAAUUUAUUUUAUUGAAAGUAUUCUAUUUGUUUUAGUAUUUUUAUAGAAUUAAUUUUUUUUAUUAUAGUAUAUUGUACUGUGAAGGUAAUAUCUUUUUUAUUUUGUAAGUAGUAUUUUUUUUAUGUACCUUUUGUAUCAGGGUUUAUUAAUUAUUACUAUUUAUUUAGUUUUCCCGAAAUUAAAAGAGCUAUAUUAUUAUGAAGGUUAUUGUUUCAUAACUAUCUUUAAUAUUUUUAUAGAGGAGAUAUUCUAUUCAAUUUUAAAUAUCUGGUUUUCUAAUAAUUAAAUUUAAUUUAGGCUUAAUUCUUGUUAUUUAUUUAAUUUUAUUAAUUAUAAUGUUUUAUGCUACGAUAAGUGGGGAUAAGCUCAUUUAUUUUUCUAUAAUUUUUUUAUUUUAUUUAAUUUUUUGUAGGUUUGAUAACGGCCAUCAUUUAUUUCGUUACAGUAAAUUUUUAUUUUAUUUUGAUUUAUUUUUAUUUAGAUUUUUAUUAGAAUUAUUUUCUUUAAUUUUUUAUGUUUUGUAAUAAUGAUAAAAUUAGUAUGUUUGUUAUUUGCAAUAUAGGAAUUCGGCAAAUAUUAUUUCCGCCUGUUUAACAAAAACAUGUCCUUUUGGUAUUUAUUUAAGGUCUAACCUGCCCAAUGAUUUUUCAAUGGCCGCGGUAAUUUGACCGUGCAAAGGUAGCAUAAUCACUUGUCUCUUAAAUGGAGGCUAGAAUGAAUGGUUGGACGAGAUAUAUACUUUCUUUGUUGUAUUAAGUUGAAUUUAAUUUUUGAGUUAAAAAGCUUAAAUUUUUUUAUGGGACGAGAAGACCCUGUAGAAUUUUAUAUUAAUUCAUUUUUAAUUGUUUUUUGUUUAUUAUUGACUUUUUUAUUUGUUUUAAUAUUUUGUUGGGGCGACAGGAAGAUUUUUUAAACUCUUCUUAUUUCUUUUCACUGAUUUGUGUUUUUAUUUUGAUCCUUUAUUAAAGAUUAUUAGAUUGAAUUACCUCAGGGAUAACAGCGUAAUCCUUUUGGAGAGCUCUUAUCGAUAAAAGGGUUUGCGACCUCGAUGUUGAAUUAAGAUUAGUGUCAGGGGCAGUUUUUUGAUUGACUAGGUCUGUUCGACCUUUAAAUUCUUACAUGAUUUGAGUUCAGACCGGUGUGAGCCAGGUUGGUUUCUAUCCUUAAUUUUUGUUUAACUUUUUAGUACGAAAGGACCGGAAGUUUGGAAUAAUUUUUUUAUUUAUUGAUUAAUAUUAA
rnacentral:rRNA from 1 species